rnacentral:rRNA from 1 species
GAAAGUGUUGCUAAUACCGGAUACCGUCCCCUGAACUGUGGUUCUAGGGAUGAAAGGUGACCUAUCCAUGGAAGUUGCCGUUUAGGGAGGGGCCCGCGUCCCAUUAGCUUGUUGGUGAGGUAAUGGCCCACCAAGGCUACGAUGGGUAGCUGGUCUGAGAGGAUGAUCAGCCACACUGGAACUGAAACACGGUCCAGACUCCUACGGGAGGCAGCAGUGAGGAAUUUUGCGCAAUGGGGGAAACCCUGACGCAGCAACGCCGCGUGAGUGAAGAAGGCCUUCGGGUCGUAAAGCUCUGUCAAGUGGGAAAAAAUCCUUGCGAUGAAUAGUCGUAAGGCCUGAUGGUACCACUAAAGGAAGCACCGGCUAACUCCGUGCCAGCAGCCGCGGUAAUACGGAGGGUGCGAGCGUUGUUCGGAAUUAUUGGGCGUAAAGAGCNCGUAGGCGGUUUGGUAAGUCANAUGUGAAAGCCCUGGGCUCAACCCAGGAAGUGCAUUUGAUACUACCAAACUUGAGUAUGGGAGAGGAGAGUGGAAUUCCCAGUGUAGAGGUGAAAUUCGUAGAUAUUGGGAGGAACACCCGUGG